UUGCAACUGAGUCCAGAGACUGCACACCUCCUGGAUGCACUGCCCUGCAGAACUCCUUGCUGGAAGGACUCUUGUCUCCCUUUUGCUUGGAGCUACACCAGGCUCACAGAGAGGAGUGCUCAGGAGAGGACCACGUAGUGUUGGACCUUCAAGCCCAGGAUCUGAGCUCUGCAUCUCCCCACAUGGAGGAAGGGUUUCAAAUGAGAUGUGUGGGGGCAGGCUUCUGAGAGGAGGGGUUAAUGCACAUUGGCUCGUCGCCGCCGCUCGGAAGGCACACGAGAGCCUCGGUCACGUGUGGACAAGAGCUCCUGGCACGUGGAGAACCUGAUUGAAAAAGAGUUUUCAGGCCAGCUGUAUGAAGGGGCCUUGGAAUGGAUUUGGCUGUAGCACAAAGCUGGAGAGUCCUUUGGUGGAAGGCAGGAGGCUCUGACUAAGAGCUGUUCUGUGUUUUGUCGAAGGUGGAUAUUGGAGUAAGUGGAGCUUUGGGUAAGUGGAUCAAAGGGAUCAAGACACAGAAGCUGAAGUGGAAGGUAACGACGGGUAAGAGUAACUGCUAAUGAAACUUGAAGCCCUGGGCACUUGAAAUGUGGUCAGGAAGCUUCUGGAGCUUCCCUCAGCCCUUAAUAACUGAGAUAGGUGAGAAGUGACUUGUGAUGUGCUCCGAGGUGGGACAGGCUGAUGGUCUGGGUGGCUGAGGCCUGCAAGAAUCCAGUUGCUGAUUGCAUGCGUGCCCCUUCUCAGAUACCUUUGGUAAGCUUGGCUUUUUCCAAGAAAAGGAGAGGCUAGGCCUGCCAGGGUGACAGCCUGGAGGCUCCCUGUGCACCGAGGCUACUGCUGCUGCCCCUUCCUCAGCUUGCUUCACACGCUGUGUCCUGCCACACAGCACCCCGUGUCCUGUGGUGGUUGCUUCUCAUUCAUAUGAACCAUUGCACUUAAAAAGAGGGGUGGUAGGAAGGUUUCAGGUGCUGGGAAAGGGGUAACUGAAGAGGAUGUUUAGGGUGUCCUGAGGCCACCUUUUGAGGUGUCAUCUUCUCUCUUCAGGAGCCUCUGAUCCUAACCUCACCUCUCUACCAGCUGCUUAACACCCAGAGAUCUCCACCUUCAUGGGAUGAAGCAAGAUGUACCCCAGCCUGAGCAGAAGCAGAUGAUCCAAACCAUCUCCAGGCAGUCCUGACCUGGUCAGAAGCUGCUGUUGGUCUUGCAAAUACUUCUCGGCGAGGCAGAAAUGAGAGGAUCUCGUGUUUCUUGGGCUGGAUCCUUCCAUCAUUUUGAGGCACCUGGUGAAGGCACCAAGCAGCUUUUCUUGGUGAUUGCUGGAGGAAGAGGAGGGGGGGAGAAAACCCAACAAUUACAGAAUUGAAACUGAGGAGCAACUGGAGAAGCAAUAAUGGAGAAGAAGGGUGUUCUGCAGUUGGCCUUUUCUGGCUUUGAUGAAAUUCAAGACCCCAACAGUGCCCUGGUUCUUCUUCUUGCUUCCCAAGAUGAAGGUUAAUUCUUCUUGGAUGAAAAGAAACCCCAACCAAACCAACCAACAACCCAACCAGAACAACCGAGUGAGGAAUGUUGGCUUGAAAUGCUGGGCAAGAACACAGGGUGUCUCCCUGGCAGUAGGUGCUGCAGAUCAGCAGCACAACCAGUUGGAACCUCUGGCAGGGGAUUGGAGUGGAGGUGAUGAGGUUGAAGGAAGAGCUUUGUAGCCAGGUGUAAAAUCUAUUGCAGGUAGCCCCUUUUCCUAUAGGAAUUCCUUAUUUUCUGGCAGUAACUUCCAGCUGUGAGGUUGAAACUGGGCCAUUCCCAGCUGCAUCUUUUCAUAGGCACCAUGGGAGAGGCAAGUGGAUGUGGAAAUAAACCCCACCAUCUCUUUAGUCCCCUGGUGGAAGAAGCCAAGUUAGGUGAGGCUCAUUCUCCUGCACAUUCUUGGCUUGCCAUCAAAAGGACCCGUUGCACUUCUCCAAAAGAUGAGCUGUCAAACUUGUGCCUUGUUCAAGUGACAAGCAGGAGGUGUCAUCAAGGGGUGAUUUAAGCAGAGUUUACCAGGUCAUGUUCAUCUCAGGGCACUUGGGGGGGGGGUUUGGCUUUGUCGUGCUUUGCUUGGCAAUCUCACGGUGGCUGCUGGGGUGGGGAAAAUACACAAACCCCUCCUUGAAAUAGCACAUCCCUUCCCUGCUGUGCCUCUCCUCUGCUUCAAAGGCAGCCCCCCCCCUGAAAGUUGCAUCAGCAGGUUUAGCAUUGCUCACAGGCAAAAGGUACUGAUCAAAAAUUAAACCCAACCAACUUGGGGAUGGGAGAAGUUCACCACGAGGUGGAGAAUUGCACCUUCUCCUCCAUUCCUGCUGGUUUGAAUGGGUUCUUGAGAAGAACGUGUGUGGGUGUUUGUUUGGGUGGGGUGGCCCCAGAGGAUGGAAGGGGGUUUGUGAGCUGCUGCUUCUCUGGUAGACAUCUACCCUGCUGCUGAACCCAUCCCUGGGGGAAUCAUGCUGGAGCAGAGCAGGGGCCAGGUCGUUUCCUGGGUGGUUAGUUGCAGCUCUCCCAGAACAGUUCCUGCCCUUGCAAAGUCCCCUUUGCCUUCUUUUCUUUUUUUUAAAAAACUUCAAUGAAUAUCUGACACCUGUUGAUGCUCCUGGAACACUAAAGGGUUGCAUGUGGUGCAGUAGUUGAAAGAUGGUAGAACAGGUAUGGAGAGACCUGAGCUGGUGCCUUCCCCAAGCUCCCAUCCCUGGUGAUCUCCACGUUCAGAGCAGAGCCUGGUGGUGGCAGGCAGAGCUGCAGCAGGAGGGGAAUUCCUGGAGGAUGGGAGAAGGGAAGGCCCUGGGGAACAAGAACCUGGGAAGGCAGAGGGUUGAAAUUCAAGCUGUGUGAACCUGGGCUCGUGUCCCUGCCUGGUGCUCCCUAUUGGCUUUUCAAGGGCGUUUGGAGGUGUCUUGAAUUUGGCACAGGCUCCCAGAGGACAUUGAAACUGCCCUUAAUUUCCUUGGGAGCUGUUUGGUCCAUCCCCCUCCUCUCUCAAAGACCAGCUCUGUGGCCAACCUGCGGUGGUGGCAUCUGGGGGGAGCUCCUUCAGGCUGCACCUGCACUGGGGACAUGCAGGCAUGAGCAUGAACGUGAUCUAUGCCCUUGCUCCUCUUGUUUUCUCUCUGAGACCCCUGCAGAGCACUGCAGGGUAAAAGGCUUGUUUCUAAUGGAAUCACCAGUAUCCUCUGGAGUCUCCCACAAGCCUCAAUUUGCUUUGCUCUGGUAAAACCAAUUCAAUUUAGGGCAAUUCACACAGAGGAUGCUCUUGGUUUUGCUCGGUGUCUACUACCCUGGACCCUCAGUCUCUUUUGCUUCUCCACCAAACAUUUUUCUUGGUCAGUCCAGCUGCCACUUUAAAGCUCUAGCUCUUCCCAAGCUGUUUUUCUGGUUGAAGGGAAAUGCAAAAAAAUCACCCUGGAACAACCAGGGGAGUGAGGCACUUCCCACCUUUCAAUAAACCACAGAGGGUUUUACUCCUUUUAUUCUCUCUGUGAUGGCUGGUAAAGGCAGGUGAAGCCAGGCCCAGCAAAUGCUGGUAGUUCAGGUAAAAUACACAGCUUUUAGGCUUUGUGUUGUCAGCUGUGGGGAGGAAAAGAGGCAGUUAGUACAGCUCUGCAGUGGAUUGAUACAGGGAUGGGAGAGGAGAAGUCUCUGGCGUGGGGUUUUCUCAGGAGCUUGGUGCAGAAUUUUUAUGCACGGCUUCCUGGGUAGCUGCCCAGGUAUUUAUCUCCUAUCUAAACAGGAGAUGGGCAUCUUUAUAGAUCUCCUACAAACGUGUUCACAGCUCAAGGUCACAGUUGUCUUGUGUGGAGCUCAUUUACUGCCUUGUUCCAGGCCUUAGGCUUGCUCUGGGACUGGAGAUCCACGCUGGGAACUCUCCUGUCUCUCCUCCUUCAGGUCCUAUUUUGCUGUCUUUUUUUUCUCUGCAGGGAUUUCUCCUGUGAGCCAUCACGUGCUGAUACAUUUCCUUGGUGCUGCUGGUGCUGUGUGGAUAACAUUUCAAUGCAGCUAAACGAGGUGGACCCAGCUCCUCAGGGAGAGCAACAGGUCAAAGCAGCAGCAGCCUGCCAGGAAAAACAGCUAUGGCUUGGGAGGAGAGAAACCAUCUCUGCCUGCAGAUGGCAGUUCCCAGAGAAGUGCAGAUGUCUUCAGUUCUGGGCUGACAAUGAAGCUUGCCAUGAAAAUAUCACAACGUGGUGAAGCCUCCCUGAUUGU